rnacentral:lncRNA from 1 species
AUGAAGACCUGUCAGAAACAUUCCAAAUCCUUCACUGAUCCCCUUUGCUUUAGGGUCACUUCGCAGUUGCCCUCUGGAGCAAGUGGGCAAUGUGGAUUCCAUCUCUCAGUCCAUGACCUUCUCACUCAAGGGAGCAAAGACAAGAAGUGGACUGACUUCAGAGUCUGUCGUAGAGCAGGAGACCAACCUGUGUUUCACAAGCAGAAAACAAGAGUGAUCACCUUUGCCUGAGGCUUUUACGAUGGCCUGAAUGAUUCAGGAGGUCAACCAGGCCGUUGGCUGUAGAGGAAGGGGAUAAAAAAAGACAAAUGAACCUUCAUGUUACUGCUCCCCUGGCUGGGAGGGAAAUCUCAUCCUGACCCCCAGUGAACCCUGUAUGAGGGACCAAGAUACAUCCAUCAGUCCUGUAGACAGAGGGGUUUCCCUGUUACUUCAAAGCACCUACUUAAUCUGUUCUGUGUUUCGAGUUGUGAGCCAUCUAGGAUGCCUCUGAAGAAGGGAGGAGAUAAUACUUGACCUAAUAAAUGUGUCUGUUUUAAUGAAACCUGGUGUCUUUUGGAUGUAUUUCAAGGCUGACUAAGAUACAAGUCCUGACAAUCUUUUUCUGUAGCUGGGGUAGGUGCAAAGCCUCACAGGCUUUUUAUUUUUUUUCUGUGUUCUCUGUGUCUAUUACUGUGGGAAUUGAUGAAGUAGCUUUGUCUUCCGUGGGAACACUUGUAGGGUAUCUUCUAUUCAGUUGGCCACUUCCAUAAAUUGUGUACAACCUUAAUCAUGAGGCCUCUAAGUCUUUACCAAAUUCAGAUGAAGUUUUCCAACUGGUUUUAAAUGUGUUACCGUGAGUACAAAUAUGCAUGGAUGGGCACAG